AUUCAACGCUGGCGGCAGGCCUAACACAUGCAAGUCGAGCGGAUGAAGGGAGCUUGCUCCUGGAUUCAGCGGCGGACGGGUGAGUAAUGCCUAGGAAUCUGCCUGGUAGUGGGGGAUAACGUCCGGAAACGGGCGCUAAUACCGCAUACGUCCUGAGGGAGAAAGUGGGGGAUCUUCGGACCUCACGCUAUCAGAUAAGCCUAGGUCGGAUUAGCUAGUUGGUGGGGUAAAGGCCUACCAAGGCGACGAUCCGUAACUGGUCUGAGAGGAUGAUCAGUCACACUGGAACUGAGACACGGUCCAGACUCCUACGGGAGGCAGCAGUGAGGAAUAUUGGACAAUGGGCGAAAGCCUGAUCCAGCCAUGCCGCGUGUGUGAAGAAGGUCUUCGGAUUGUAAAGCACUUUAAGUUGGGAGGAAGGGUAGUAAGUUAAUACCUUGCUGUUUUGACGUUACCAACAGAAUAAGCACCGGCUAACUUCGUG
rnacentral:rRNA from 1 species